UGGCACUGCAAGAAGGAGGUCAGAAUGCA
rnacentral:piRNA from 2 species